UGCUGUGGACUGGCCAAGUUGGUACAUAAAAUUAACUGCUCUGGUACGCCACUUUGGCUUGCAAAUGAUCACUUUUGCUAUUUUCGAGGCCAAACUGGAAUGCUGGAGUUCUAAAUUCUGCGUAUCCCUUCUUGCAUGUGUCUUGUUGUCGACUUGCGCCAUCUUUCCCUGUGUUUCAGGCCUCACAAGAUUAAAACUUGGAGAGGUCGAGGAAUCUGAAUGUCAUUUUUCAAAUCGAGCAUCAGACUUUUUAUGCAGAAGACAAUAAGGAAGUUGGAUGACAUACCUGCAAGGUACAAAUGAGGG
rnacentral:lncRNA from 1 species